rnacentral:rRNA from 1 species
UAAAACUCAAAUGAAUUGACGGGGGCCCGCACAAGCGGUGGAGCAUGUGGUUUAAUUCGAUGCAACGCGAAGAACCUUACCUGGUCUUGACAUCCACAGAACUUUCCAGAGAUGGAUUGGUGCCUUCGGGAACUGUGAGACAGGUGCUGCAUGGCUGUCGUCAGCUCGUGUUGUGAAAUGUUGGGUUAAGUCCCGCAACGAGCGCAACCCUUAUCCUUUGUUGCCAGCGGUCCGGCCGGGAACUCAAAGG